CUCUGUCUCAUGUUCUCUCUCCCCUCAGCCUGUUUCUGGCUGCCGGGAGCUGAACAGCUUUCCUCCUCCACUGAGCCCUUCUGCCAUGAUGAUUCUGCCACGGAGCUGGCUAACCCCGGAUUGAGACCUCUGAAACCGACACGGAAACACCCAGGAAACGGCACUACCUACCUCGAUCUGUGAAGAGGAAGCUGGUUUCUGAGGGCUCUCUGGAGUCGCUGGGGUCUGGUUUCCAGCUCCCCCAGACAGACAGAAAGACAGACAGACACACACACACAGACACACACACUCCACAUCAGCAGCAGAACCCUGGAGCUCAGAGUUGUCUCCUGCAGGGAGACCAAGAAAGGCCCACGACGUGAGGAUGAAGUCACUUGUGACCCCACAGGGCAGGGACUCCACUCACGAGACAUGGGGUAAGUGUCCCCAGAGCACAGCAAAGAGGCAGGGCCCCUACAGCUGCUCUGGGGCUGUAUAUUCUCUGUCAUGAUGUAACUGGAAAAGAUCCCUCAGGAAACAACUUUAGCCCUCCACAAAUCCUGUCCAGGGAAGGUUUUCACCAAGGCAUCCGGAAUUUUCUAUGAUGCUUUCAACACCAGUCACAGGAAUCGGAUAAUCCCACAGCCGUCAUCUCGUGGUAGCGGUGGGGCUAACUUUAAAGACAAAGCAGCAAGCCUCAGCUUCUAGCUCAUCCUAAAAGAGAAGUGACUCUCAUUCCUGGCUGUACAAAUCCUGGAAGACUCAAAAAGAAAAAAAAAAAAACUGAAACCAAUAGAUCUGAAGUGGCCAGA